rnacentral:lncRNA from 1 species
AAAAUGCAUAAAAGCCCACCCGAUUACCCAAAAUCACAUUAUUUUAUGUGAUUUUGGGGCUUUUAUGACUCGCUAGCGCGACCUGAGGGUUAUUUAGCCGAACCGAGACACCCGUUGACAGGUCUCGGGGUGCUGGAGGCCAUGCUCACCUUUCGGAGCACUUCCGGCUACUGUGGCACGUGCACGAGCGACGCGAAAGUUAGCGAAACAGCGCGCACAGCGCAUAAAUCGCGUC